rnacentral:rRNA from 1 species
GACGAACGCUGGCGGCGUGCUUAACACAUGCAAGUCGAACGAAGAGCGAUGGAAGCUUGCUUCUAUCAAUCUUAGUGGCGAACGGGUGAGUAACGCGUAAUCAACCUGCCCUUCAGAGGGGGACAACAGUUGGAAACGACUGCUAAUACCGCAUACGAUCUGACCUCGGCAUCGAGGAUAGAUGAAAGGUGGCCUCUAUUUAUAAGCUAUCACUGAAGGAGGGGAUUGCGUCUGAUUGGCUAGUUGGAGGGGUAACGGCCCACCAAGGCGAUGAUCAGUAGCCGGUCUGAGAGGAUGAACGGCCACAUUGGGACUGAGACACGGCCCAGACUCCUACGGGAGGCAGCAGUGGGGAAUCUUCCGCAAUGGACGAAAGUCUGACGGAGCAACGCCGCGUGAGUGAUGACGGCCUUCGGGUUGUAAAGCUCUGUUAAUCGGGACGAAAGGCCUUCUUGCGAAUAGUUAGAAGGAUUGACGGUACCGGAAUAGAAAGCCACG